rnacentral:rRNA from 1 species
GACGAACGCUGGCGGCGUGCUUAACACAUGCAAGUCGAACGGAAAGGCCCUGCUUUUGUGGGGUGCUCGAGUGGCGAACGGGUGAGUAACACGUGAGUAACCUGCCCUUGACUUUGGGAUAACUUCAGGAAACUGGGGCUAAUACCGGAUAGGAGCUCCUGCUGCAUGGUGGGGGUUGGAAAGUUUCGGCGGUUGGGGAUGGACUCGCGGCUUAUCAGCUUGUUGGUGGGGUAGUGGCUUACCAAGGCUUUGACGGGUAGCCGGCCUGAGAGGGUGACCGGCCACGCUAGGAUGGAGCUACGGCACGGCCCCGACUCGUACGCAGCGGUGGGGAAGAUUGUAUUAGGGGCUGGGCCAUGACGUAGUCCCGCAGCGUGCGGGAUGAGGUGAAGGGGUUUGGGAUCUGAUUUCCUUUUUGCCGGAGUGUUAGUGACAGUACCGGGUGAAGAAGCUCCGGCUAACUACGUG